AAGAAAAUAGAAAUGAGAAUCAACAAUCUCCACCGUCUAAUUUCCACAUGGCAAUCAUUGCACGCGUAAAAUUUCAAUCAAAUCAUCAAUCACAAACAAUUUUGAUCAUUUCUUUCUUUCUUUCUUUCUUUCUUUCUUUCUUUUUUUAUUACUAGAAAAGCAAGUCCAGUCAAGCCUGCCAAAUCUCAAAUUUCAAUCAAAACUUCACAUGCACUUGCUAAAAAUUUAAAAGCUAUUGAUUUCAUUGUUCACAAGUUAUCGUAAGAUGCCAAUCAUAAGGUUUUGAUAAUUAACAUAAGGCAGCAACUCAAUUAGUUGGUAAUUAUGCAAUCGUCAUAAUCAUUCAUCCUAUCAAAGUAAGGACAAACAAAUCUUUCCAUGUAUACUUCAAUCGAUUUUUAAUUGUCUCAAGAAUGCAAUAUCCAUGUGUUAUAGAUUCUCCAGAUUUGUUAAUAGAUCAAUGUGCUAAUAUACUUGUGUCUCCAUUCAAAUUCGGUAUAUAGGUCUCACUCAAUGUUAAUCUUUGAUAAAAUGUCUGCAUCAAAUCUUCCAUUGACCUUAAAGGACAUGUAACGAAGUGACUCCAUGCAUGAAUAAUUUCUCGGAAUUAGAUAGUCCGGUGCAAGGGUUAGCUUGAAUCAUGGGAUAUAAAAAUCUAGGAAUUGAAUUGAAUGUUUAUCCCCCAAAAAACAAAACAAAAAAAAAUCACGGCGUUAAUAGAGCUUAGCUGUCUAUCACGCAAAAAGAAAGGAACAAAAGAAAAUGUUCAUGGCUUGACAGCUAAUUUACAGGACAGAAUAUUCAUGGAAAAGAAAAAUUAAAACAAAAUUACGCCGCCUAGUGGAGCCCGUACUAGGGACCACUUCCUGGCUUGACUCCCUUUUUCUGCUAAUAAAGGAAAUAGAAAUGAGAAUCAACAAUCUCCACCGUCUAAUUUCCACAUGGCAAUCAUUGCACGCGUAAAAUUUCAAUCAAAUCAUCAAUCACAAACAAUUUCGAUCAUUUCUUUCUUUCUUUCUUUCUUUCUUUCUUUCUUUUUUUAUUACUAGAAAAGCAAGUCCAGUCAAGCCUGCCAAAUCUCAAAUUUCAAUCAAAACUUCACAUGCACUUGCUAAAAAUUUUAAAAUCUAUUGAUUUCAUUGUUCACAAGUUAUCGUAAGAUGCCAAUCAUAAGGUUUUGAUAAUUAACAUAAGGCAGCAACUCAAUUAGUUGGUAAUUAUGCAAUCGUCAUAAUCAUUCAUCCUAUCAAAGUAAGGACAAACAAAUCUUUCCAUGUAUACUUCAAUCGAUUUUUAAUUGUCUCAAGAAUGCAAUAUCCAUGUGUUAUAGAUUCUCCAGAUUUGUUAAUAGAUCAAUGUGCUAAUAUACUUGUGUCUCCAUUCAAAUUCGGUAUAUAGGUCUCACUCAAUGUUAAUCUUUGAUAAAAUGUCUGCAUCAAAUCUUCCAUUGACCUUAAAGGACAUGUAACGAAGUGACUCCAUGCAUGAAUAAUUUCUCGGAAUUAGAUAGUCCGGUGCAAGGGUUAGUUUGAAUCAUGGGAUAUAAAAAUCUAGGAAUUGAAUUGAAUGUUUAUCCCCCAAAAAACAAAACAAAACAAAAUCACGGCGUUAAUAGAGCUUAGCUGUCUAUCACGCAAAAAGAAAGGAACAAAAGAAAAUGUUCAUGGCUUGACAGCUAAUUUACAGGACAGAAUAUUCAUGGAAAAGAAAAAUUAAAACAAAAUUACGCCGCCUAGUGGAGCUCGUACCAGGGACCACUUCUUGGCUUGACUCGCUUUUUCUACUAAUAAAGGAAAUAGAAAUGAGAAUCAAAGAUCUCCACCAUCUAAUUUGCACAUGGCAAUCAUUGCACACGUAAAAUUUCAAUCAAAUCAUCAAUCACAAACAAUUUCGAUCAUUUCUUUCUUUCUUUCUUUCUUUCUUUUUUUAUUACUAGAAAGCAAGUCCAGUCAAGCCUGCCAAAUCUCAAAUUUCAAUCAAAGCUUCACAUGCACUUGCUAGAAAUUUUAAAAUCUAUGGAUUUCAUUAUUCACAAGUUAUCGUAGGAUGCCAAUUAUAAGGUUUGGAUUAUUAAGUCUCCUAGCGGCAGGUUCAAGCAAUAGUCCACUUUUGCUAUCUUUACAUCCUGUUUGGGAGAGAAGAAGGAAGGAAUUCAAGUUUGAAGCCUUUUGGAUGCAGGAAAAAGAGUGUGGGGGAGAUUAUCAAAAGCUAUUAGGGAGGCGACCAGCGUUGUUUCACAACCUUUUCUCAGAAAAUACAAAAUGUUACGAAGGAAUUGGCUACAUGGAGCAAGAAAAAGUUCUCUAAUGCCUCUCUCCAAAUUAGAAGCCUCAAA
rnacentral:lncRNA from 1 species